CCUUCCCUCCUUCCUUCCUUCUUUCCUUCCCUUCCUCCUUUCCUUUCCUUCCUUUCCUUGCUUUCUCUCUCUCUUUCUCUCUACCUCUCUGUCUCCUCUCUCUCUUUCUUCCUCCCUCCCUCCUGUCCUCCCUUUCUUUUUAGGCAAGUUGGAGUAUCUGUUACAAUCAAUUACACUUUAGAGAUGAAUGCUCUUACGAGUUACAGAUACCAGUUACGCUCCUUUGUAGUAUGUUUGGACACCACAUGUUGUCUUUGUUCACUUCUCAGGUUUCCACUGCUAUACAGUCUGUCAUCCUGGCAGCUGCAAACUCAUCGUCUUCUUUUCUCACCACUGAAGUACGGCACAAAUGUCACUAGGUGCUGUGUGAAAGAAACAUAUGGCAUCACCGUGGCUGAGGAGGGAUUCCUCAUGGAAGUACAAGUGCUGGAAGUAUUACGUCAUGUCUUGGCCAUACCAGAAGAAUUUGGUUUGGAGGCAACCUUGGAGAAGCACACAGACUGUUUGAUUUUAUCCGAAAGCUACUUUUCAAGAUAUGGAAGACUGAAGAAUUUUACAAGAGCAUGUUAACCUUUAACCUGUGUGUUUGCAAUAAGGAGAUCUUUACUGGAAUGAAAAGACAUUGUAUACUAGCACUAGAGCUAUAAAGGCAAGGAUUUGCUCUUUAUGCAUAUACCAAAGACACUGUGGCCUCCCACUCAGCAGCCCACAGGGGAAAAAUCCUAUUUUGCAGGAAAAAAAAGUUGUUCUUCUUGUUAGAUAUUUUCUUAGUAUAACUGUGUUGGGUAGGGCUUAGACCUUUGUACUCUCCCUGAACAAAUUCCUUGUAGUGAAAACCUAUAUGAAUACUGCGUUUUUACAUCUAAUGUCUGCAUCUGGAGGCCAUGUGCCAGUGUCAUAUCUUCUUGGGAUGUGCUUUCUCCUCGUUUCCUA
rnacentral:lncRNA from 1 species